rnacentral:rRNA from 1 species
UACGUAGGGUGCAAGCGUUAAUCGGAAUUACUGGGCGUAAAGCGUGCGCAGGCGGUUAUGUAAGACAGAUGUGAAAUCCCCGGGCUCAACCUGGGAAUGGCGAUGAAGACUGCAAGGCUAGAAUCUGGCAGAGGGGGGUAGAAUUCCACGUGUAGCAGUGAAAUGCGUAGAGAUGUGGAGGAACACCGAUGGCGAAGGCAGCCCCCUGGGUCAAGAUUGACGCUCAUGCA